rnacentral:rRNA from 1 species
UGAUCGUAUGACCUUUGUGUCGACGACAUAUCUUUCAAGUGUCUGACUUAUCAACUUUUAGACGGUACAUUAUAUGUCUACCGUGGUUGUAACGAGUACAGAGAAUCAGGGUUUGGUUCUGGAGAGGCCGCCUGAGAAACGGCGACCACUUCCAAGGAAGGCAGCAGGCGCGCAAAUUACCCACUCUCAAAAUGAGGAGGUAGUGAAGAGAAAUAACGAUGUUAGUCUUUUUAAGGCUGACAAUCGGAAUGGGAACACUGUAAAAAGGUUAUCGAUUAACAAUUGGAGGGCAAGUCUGGUGCCAGCAGCCGCGGUAAUUCCAGCUCCAAUAAGGAAAACUAAAGUUGCUGUGUUUAAAAAGCUCGUAGUUGAAUUUCGGGUAUUUGUUGCUAGCUGGUCUAACUGGCAUGUUGGUUAACAGAUCCUCAUUUGCUGGACGGCGUGGCGAUGAUCUUUAUCGAUUGUCGUCAGUUGCCAGAACGUUUACUUUGAGAAAUUAGAGUGCUAAAAGCAGGCUCACG